GCUUGUCCAGGGAGCGGAGCCUCGCCAAGCCCACAGGCUCGGAGCAGCCCGGACCCCGGGGGCCGCGGGGGUGGGCUCGGGGUCGCCCCAGCCUCAACUGCCAGGCCGAAGGCGAGGUCCGAGGGCAGAGAUGCCACUGGGGACCAAGGUCAGCCACGCUUCCUUCGGGAUGCUUCCUCUUGUCUCCUUCCUCCGGGGGCAGCUGCUGUUGCUGCUCCUUCUGGGCACCGCGUCUCCCCAGGACCCCGAGGAGCCGGAC
rnacentral:lncRNA from 1 species